rnacentral:rRNA from 1 species
UACGUAGGGUCCGAGCGUUGUCCGGAAUUAUUGGGCGUAAAGAGCUCGUAGGCGGUUUGUCGCGUCUGCUGUGAAAUCCCGAGGCUCAACCUCGGGUCUGCAGUGGGUACGGGCAGACUGGAGUGCGGUAGGGGAGAAUGGAAUUCCUGGUGUAGCGGUGGAAUGCGCAGAUAUCGGGAGGAACACCCGUAGCGAAGGCGGCACUCUGGGCCGGAACUGACGCUGGAGGAGAGAAGCGGUGGGAGCAAACAGG